GAUGAACGCUAGCGACAGGCCUAACACAUGCAAGUCGAGGGGCAGCACAUGAGUAGCAAUACGAUGGUGGCGACCGGCGCACGGGUGAGUAACACGUAUGCAACCUGCCUUCUACUAUGGGAUAACCCGUUGAAAGACGGACUAAUACCGUAUAAUACAGGGGCUCCGCAUGGCGAUAUUUGUUAAAGAUUGAUUGGUAGAAGAUGGGCAUGCGUAUGAUUAGAUAGUUGGUGAGGUAACGGCUCACCAAGUCAACGAUCAGUAGGGGUUCUGAGAGGAAGGUCCCCCACACUGGUACUGAGACACGGACCAGACUCCUACGGGAGGCAGCAGUGAGGAAUAUUGGUCAAUGGACGAGAGUCUGAACCAGCCAAGUCGCGUGAAGGAAGACGGUUCUAUGAAUUGUAAACUUCUUUUGUGCAGGAAUAAAGUGGGUUACGUGUAACCUUUUGUAUGUACUGUACGAAUAAGGAUCGGCUAACUCCGUGCCAGCCGCCGCGGUAAUAC
rnacentral:rRNA from 1 species